rnacentral:rRNA from 1 species
UACGUAGGUGGCGAACGUUAUCCGGAGUGACUGGGUGUAAAGGGUCCGUAGGCGGGGAUCUAAGUCUGACGUGAAAGCGCCCGGCUCAACUGGGCGAGUGCGUUGGAAACUGGGUCUCUUGACGCACGCAGAGGUCGGCGGAAUUCCCGGUGUAGUGGUGGAAUGCGUAGAGAUCGGGAGGAACCUCGAAAGCGAAGGCAGCCGACUGGGUGAUGCGUGACGCUGAGGGACGAAAGCGUGGGGAGCGAACAGG